ACAGAGCUGUGAUAUUGGGUCAUCCCAUGGUACCAGGUCCAUCAAGGAAACACAAAGUGGAUAAGGAAUGCCUUGGGGCCACUCUUCAGGAAAGUAUUUCUUUGUAUAUUUGCUCCUACUUUCUACUUCACACCCCCUCCCCUGCGUUUGUUUUUCAGGUAUAAGAAGAUAAGAGGAGUUUCAGUGCUUCUGCGAGAACUGGAAAAGCUAUGUCUCUGUGCAAACUACAUGGUAGCACUAUAUAUAUGAUGCCAGUGCAAGACAUUAUUGAUGGUGCAGAAAACCAACAAGUCAGAGUGAGUAUUGAUUUCUACAGUUGGGGUUAUUGGAUACGGGAUAUCUGCCUGUGUACUUUUCAUGUUGUCCCCUUCAAAUGAUUAACUGUACACAGAAAAAUUGUCAGAGUGGAGAGUAUUUAAUGAGUCAUUCCAAGUCAGAUCUCUGGGGAAAUGAAUUAAUAUCUGUGUCAUCUAUUCAAAAGAUAAUUAAUUUUCAAUUGUGGUAGAUAACUGGUCAACUAUCUAAAACUUCAUCUGAGUCAUGGUAAUGGUACAUGUAAUCUAGUUCAGUUUAAAGAUCUAAACAUUCUUAUUCCUGAUGUCAUCUUUAUGAGUCAUACAUAUGGGUCAUACACUUCUUGAACAGCAAUGUAAAUAUUUUGUGAUUGCCUUAAUUAAGGCAGAGAUUUGACUAACUGUGUUUAUUAAUUUGGUUUUAAAUGUUGUGGAAAUGUUCUUCCCUCAAAUCUCUGAAGGAUGGUUGCAUUGUAGGGAUAUGGUUUAGUGGAGGACUUAUUAGUGUUAGGUCAGAGGUUGGACUUGAUGAUCUUGAGGUCUCUUCCAACCUUGAAAUUCUGUGAUUCUGUGUGAUUCUGUGUGAUCAUUCUUAAAAGAAACAAACAUUUAUUUAUUAUUUCUAUUUUCCACUUAGAGCCAUUAUAACAUUUCUUUCAGUAGGACCUAAAUAC
rnacentral:lncRNA from 1 species